rnacentral:rRNA from 1 species
AGCCGCGGUAAUACGGAGGAUCCGAGCGUUAUCCGGAUUUAUUGGGUUUAAAGGGUGCGUAGGCGGCCUUUUAAGUCAGCGGUGAAAGUCUGUGGCUCAACCAUAGAAUUGCCGUUGAAACUGGGGGGCUUGAGUAUGUUUGAGGCAGGCGGAAUGCGUGGUGUAGCGGUGAAAUGCUUAGAUAUCACGCAGAACCCCGAUUGCGAAGGCAGCCUGCCAAGCCAUGACUGACGCUGAUGCACGAAAGCGUGGGGAUCAAACAGGAUUAGAUACCCUGGUAGUCCACGCAGUAAACGAUGAUCACUAGCUGUUUGCGAUACACUGUAAGCGGCACAGCGAAAGCGUUAAGUGAUCCACCUGGGGAGUACGCCGGCAACGGUGAAACUCAAAGGAAUUGACGGGGGCCCGCACAAGCGGAGGAACAUGUGGUUUAAUUCGAUGAUACGCGAGGAACCUUACCCGGGCUUAAAUUGCAACUGACGGAAUCGGAAACGGUUCUUUCUUCGGACAGUUGUGAAGGUGCUGCAUGGUUGUCGUCAGCUCGUGCCGUGAGGUGUCGGCUUAAGUGCCAUAACGAGCGCAACCCUUGCCACUAGUUACUAACAGGUGAUGCUGAGGACUCUGGUGGGACUGCCAGCGUAAGCUGCGAGGAAGGCGGGGAUGACGUCAAAUCAGCACGGCCCUUACAUCCGGGGCGACACACGUGUUACAAUGGCGUGGACAAAGGGAAGCCACCUGGCGACAGGGAGCGAAUCCCCAAACCACGUCUCAGUUCGGAUCGGAGUCUGCAACCCGACUCCGUGAAGCUGGAUUCGCUAGUAAUCGCGCAUCAGCCAUGGCGCGGUGAAUACGUUCCCGGGCCUUGUACACACCGCCCGUCAAGCCAUGGGAGCCGGGGGUACCUGAAGUGCGUAACCGCGAGGAUCGCCCUAGGGUAAAACUGGUGACUGGGGCUAAGUCGUAACAAGGUAGCCGUACCGGAAGGUGCGGCUG